UCGAGCGAGCAGAACCAGCAGAUUUACUUCGGUAAUGACGCUGGGGACGCGAGCGGCGGACGGGUGAGUAACGCGUGGGUAACCUGCCCCAUACAGGGGGAUAACAGCUGGAAACGGCUGCUAAUACCGCAUAAGCGCACAGUGCUGCAUGGCACCGUGUGAAAAACUGAGGUGGUAUGGGAUGGGCCCGCGUCUGAUUAGGUAGUUGGUGCGGUAACGGCGCACCAAGCCCGCGAUCAGUAGCCGACCUGAGAGGGUGACCGGCCACAUUGGGACUGAGACACGGCCCAAACUCCUACGGGAGGC
rnacentral:rRNA from 1 species